rnacentral:rRNA from 1 species
UGGUCAAGUUAUUAAGGGUGCAGGGCGGAUGCCUUGGCACUAGGAGCCGAUGAAGGACGUGAUAAGCUGCGAUAAGCUUCGGGGAGUUGCACGUAAACUUUGAUCCGAAGAUUUCCGAAUGAGGAAACUCACUUAGAGUAAUGUCUAAGUAUCAUUAAGUGAAUACAUAGCUUAAUGAGGGGAACUCAGGGAACUGAAACAUCUAAGUACCUGAAGGAGAGAAAGAAAUUCGAUUCCGUAAGUAGCGGCGAGCGAACGCGGAUUAGCCCAAACCAAUAAAGUUUUCUUUAUUGGGGUUGCGGACAUAUCAUAACGAAGAGGUAUCGUAAUUGAAGAGGUUUGGAAAGACCCACCACAGAAGGUAAUAGUCCUGUAUGUUAAACGAGAAGACUUCAGAUAUGAUCCAGAGUACCACGGGACACGUGAAACCCUGUGGGAAGCAGGAGGGACCACCCUCCAAGGCUAAAUACUACCUAGUGACCGAUAGCGUAUAGUACCGUGAGGGAAAGGUGAAAAGAACCCCGGGAGGGGAGUGAAAUAGAACCUGAAACCCUGCACUUACAAGCUGUGGAAGCACAUUUCUUGUGUGACCGCGUACUUUUUGUAGAACGGGCCAACGAGUUACGUUAAGUAGCAAGGUUAAGCACUUAAGGUGCGGAGCCGUAGCGAAAGCGAGUUUUAACUGAGCGUUCAGUUACUUGACGUAGACCCGAAACCGGGCGACCUACCCAUGAGCAGGAUGAAGCGAAAGUAAAAUUUCGUGGAGGUCCGAACCCACGAGCGUUGAAAAGCUCGGGGAUGACUUGUGGUAGCGGUGAAAUUCCAAUCGAGCCCGGAGAUAGCUGGUUCUCCCCGAAAUAGCUUUAGGGCUAGCCUCAAGGUGAGAGAUACGGAGGUAGAGCACUGAAUGUCCUAGGGGGUAUUGCACCUACCGAAGACUAUCAAACUCCGAAUGCCGUCAUCUUAUACUUGGGAGUCAGACUGUGGGUGAUAAGAUUCAUAGUCGAAAGGGCAACAGCCCAGAUCGUCAGCUAAGGUCCCUAAAUGUAAGUUAAGUGGUAAAGGAUGUGGGAUUGCACAGACAACCAGGAUGUUGGCUUAGAAGCAGCCACUCAUUCAAAGAGUGCGUAAUAGCUCACUGGUCGAGUGAUCCUGCGCCGAAGAUUUCCGGGGCUAAAACUUACUACCGAAGCUACGGCAUCAGUAAUGAUGGGUAGGGGAGCUUCCCAUACGGGUUGAAGCGUGACCGUAAGGACAUGUGGACAGUAUGGGAGUGAGAAUGUUGGCAUGAGUAGCGAGAUGUGGGUGAGAAUCCCACAGGCCGUAAACCCAAGGUUUCCAGGGGAAGGUUCGUCCGCCCUGGGUUAGUCGGGACCUAAGCUGAGGCCGAAAGGCGUAGGUGAUGGACAACAGGUUGAUAUUCCUGUACUACCGAUAACCGUUUGAGAGAAGGGAUGACACAGUAGGAUAAGCUAAGCACACUGUUGGUUAUGUGUGCCCAAGCAUUGAGGCAGUCAAAG